rnacentral:tRNA from 1 species
ACUUAAAUAGUUUAAUAUAAAAUUUUGAUUUGUGGAAUCAGAGAUGUUAGUUUAACUUUAAGUA